AGGACGAACGCUGGCGGCGUGCUUAACACAUGCAAGUCGAGCGAUGAUACUUCUUCGGAAGUUGAUUAGCGGCGGACGGGUGAGUAACACGUGGGCAACCUGCCCUAUAGAGGGGAAUAGCCUUCCGAAAGGAAGAUUAAUACCCCAUAAGAUUGUAGUUUCACAUGGAACAGCAAUUAAAGGAGUAAUCCGCUAUAGGAUGGGCCCGCGUCGCAUUAGCUAGUUGGUGAGGUAACGGCUCACCAAGGCGACGAUGCGUAGCCGACCUGAGAGGGUGAUCGGCCUCAUUGGGACUGAGACACGGCCCAGACUCCUACGGGAGGCAGCAGUGGGGAAUAUUGCACAAUGGGGGAAACCCUGAUGCAGCAACGCCGCGUGAGUGAUGAAGGCCUUCGGGUUGUAAAGCUCUGUCUUUGGGGACGAUAAUGACGGUACCCAAGGAGGAAGCCACGGCUAACUACGUGCCAGCAGCCGCGGUAAUACGUAGGUGGCAAGCGUUGUCCGGAUUUACUGGGCGUAAAGGGAGCGUAGGCGGACUUUUAAGUGGGAUGUGAAAUACUCGGGCUUAACCUGAGUGCUGCAUUCCAAACUGGAAGUCUAGAGUGCAGGAGGGGAAAGUGGAAUUCCUAGUGUAGCGGUGAAAUGCGUAGAUAUUAGGAAGAACGCCGGUGGCGAAGGCGACUUUCUGGACUGUAACUGACGCUGAGGCUCGAAAGCGUGGGGAGCGAACAGGAUUAGAUACCCUGGUAGUCCACGCCGUAACGAUGAAUACUAGCCGUUGGUCCUAUUUACAGGAUUAGUGGCGCAGCUAACGCAUUAAGUUGACCGCCUGGGGAGUACGCCGCAGGUAA
rnacentral:rRNA from 1 species